rnacentral:rRNA from 1 species
CACAUGCAAGUCGAGCGGCAGCGGGAAGUAGUUUACUCCUUUGCCGGCGAGCGGCGGACGGGUGAGUAAUGUCUGGGAAACUGCCUGAUGGAGGGGGAUAACUACUGGAAACGGUAGCUAAUACCGCAUAACGUCUUCGGACCAAAGUGGGGGACCUUCGGGCCUCACGCCAUCGGAUGUGCCCAGAUGGGAUUAGCUAGUAGGUGGGGUAAUGGCUCACCUAGGCGACGAUCCCUAGCUGGUCUGAGAGGAUGACCAGCCACACUGGAACUGAGACACGGUCCAGACUCCUACGGGAGGCAGCAGUGGGGAAUAUUGCACAAUGGGCGCAAGCCUGAUGCAGCCAUGCCGCGUGUGUGAAGAAGGCCUUCGGGUUGUAAAGCACUUUCAGCGAGGAGGAAGGCAUAAAGGUUAAUAACCUUUGUGAUUGACGUUACU